UACGGGGGGGGCAAGCGUUGUUCGGAAUUACUGGGCGUAAAGGGCUCGUAGGUGGCCAACUAAGUCGGACGUGAAAUCCCUCGGCUUAACCGGGGAACUGCAUCCGAUACUGGAUGGCUUGAGUUCGGGAGAGGGAUGCGGAAUUCCAGGUGUAGCGGUGAAAUGCGUAGAUAAUCUGGAGGAACACCGGUGGCGAAGGCGGCAAUCCUGGACCGACACUGACGCUGAGGAGCGAAAGCCAGGGGAGCAA
rnacentral:rRNA from 1 species